AGUGAACGCUGGCGGUAGGCCUAACACAUGCAAGUCGAACGGCAGCACAGUAAGAGCGCGCUCUUACGGGUGGCGAGGGACGGACGGGUGAGGAAUACAUCGGAAUCUACUUUUUCGUGGGGGAUAACGGGGGGAAACUUACGCUAAUACCGCAUACGACCUACGGGUGAAAUCAGGAGAUCUUCGGACCUUUCGCGAUACAAUGAGACGAAGUCGGAUUAGCUAGUUGGCGGGGUAAAGGCCCACCAAGGCGACGAUCCGUAGCUGGUCUGAGAGGAUGAUCGGCCACACUGGAACUGAGACACGGUCCAGACUCCUACGGGAGGCAGCAGUGGGGAAUCUUCCGCAAUGGGCGCAAGCCUGACCCAGCCACGCCGCGUGAGUGAUGAAGGUCUUCGGGUCGUAAAGCUCUGUUGUUGGGAAAGAACAGAUGCAGAUGAAUCUAUGGACGUUUUGACGGUACCUAAACAGUAAGCCACGGCUAACUUCGUG
rnacentral:rRNA from 1 species